UCAUAUGCUUGUCUUAAAGAUUAAGCCAUGCAUGUCUAAGUAUAAGCUUUUAUACGGCUAAACUGCGAAUGGCUCAUUAAAACAGUUAUAGUUUAUUUGAUGGUCUUUACUACAUGGAUAACCGUGGUAAUUCUAUGGCUAAUACAUGCGCACAUGCCUCUUCCCCUGGAAGGGCAGUGUUUAUUAGAUACAGAACCAACCCACCUUCCGGUGGUCCUCAGGUGAUUCAUAGUAACCGAACGGAUCGCGUUGACUUCGGUCUGCGACGGAUCAUUCAAGUUUCUGACCUAUCAGCUUUCGACGGUACUGUAUUGGACUACCGUGGCAGUGACGGGUAACGGGGGAAUUAGGGUUCGAUUCCGGAGAAGGAGCCUGAGAAACGGCUACCACAUCUAAGGAAGGCAGCAGGCGCGCAAAUUACCCAAU